rnacentral:pre_miRNA from 9 species
AGUAGAGUUGAGAUUGAAAUGUUAUUCUGUAGCUGGUUGAAGUCGGGCCAAAUAGUCUGUGUUGUCAUGCAUUUGGUCCCCUUCAACCAGCUGUAGUGAGCAUUAUGGCCAACAGGGGGCGGGG